AUUGAACGCUGGCGGCAUGCUUUACACAUGCAAGUCGAACGGUAACAGGCCGCAAGGUGCUGACGAGUGGUGAACGGGUGAGUAAUGCAUCGGAACGUGCCCAGUCGUGGGGGAUAACUAAUCGAAAGAGUAGCUAAUACCGCAUACGAUCUAUGGAUGAAAGCGGGGGACCGUAAGGCCUCGCGCGAUUGGUGCGGCCGAUGUUAGAUUAGGGAGUUGGUGGGGUAAAGGCUGACCAAGCCAACGAUUUGUAGCUGGUCUGAGAGGACGAGCAGCCACACUGGAACUGAGACACGGCCCAGACUCCUACGGGAGGCAGCAGUGGGGAAUUUUGGGCAAUGGGCGCAAGCCUGAUCCAGCAAUGCCGCGUGCAGGAAGAAGGCCUUCGGGUUGUAAACUGCUUUUGUACGGAACGAAACGGCUCUGGUUAAUACCCGGGGCUAAUGACGGUACCGUAAGAAUAAGCACCGGCUAACUACGUG
rnacentral:rRNA from 1 species